AUUAGAAAUGUAUUAUUUUUACAAUACCACCUGUUUGCUAUGUAGAGAACAGCUAUCUAUGUGAUAUAUACACGUAUUUUUUUUUUUAAGUCUAAAACAGCUGAAUAUAACCUUUCUCUCUGUAACAUCCAGUUAUUUUGUUGACUUUUAGGAGUAAUAUAUCUUAAAAACACCUUUCCUCUUCCUCCUUUUUAAUUGCUGUUGAGACCAUAUAUCAGAGCAAUGAUAUGAAAGUAAACUUGGUAUAUUGAUACUAUCCCCACAAGACAAAGUGCAAAAGAAGGACUACUGAACGUAUGGAAACUGAGUAGUGCAUGUCCUUCUGUAAGUAGCAGAGAAAAAAAAAUAUUACAUUAACUAUUUCAUUUUUCAAUACUACCUUUUUUUUUUUUCAUGUGCCCUCCUACUAGUCAGAUAUACUUCAGGAUAUUUGAGAAGUAUAAAUUCAGCACAAAAGAGAACGCCAAAGGACUACAGUGGGCUGAAUAUUUCGAUUAAUUAAAUCAGCAGAGAAGGAACAGCUCAAACUGACAGAGUACAGAAAAUUACUCAGGGAAAAUUCAGAAAACUAAAGACUUAUGUUUUCUUCAUGUCUAUAAAUGAACAGCACGGCAUGAAACUGUAAAAAUUGCAACAGGAUAGAGCAAGACAGAAACUUAGCUAAGAAAAAGAACUGACUGCAUACUUAAAAUACCAGCCUUCUAAUUGCACAAGUUGCUAGCAGAAAUUACCUAUUGCCAAAAUUUCUAAGCUUGCAAGACACUUCGAUGUACUAGCAUUUCCAAAAUACUGGCCUUUACACUGAAUUUUUUGUACUCAUGUUUGAGAGAUUAAGUUUCAAGACUGAGAUUUUCAGCCUAAAUUUUUGUUUUCUUUUAAGAAACCUUGCACUUUUCCUACUGAAAUCCACUUAAACUCCUUGAACAGCUCAUCAGCAAUCAGUCAGCAACCAUAGAGGUUUAUUAGAGUUAUGGGCCUUAUUGAUGUUAGGUUUAAUAUUUGUUUCAGGAAACUUUCUAUGGUACUGAGAGAAUCAACUAAAUCUGUUUCUUAGCCAGGCAACUUGCUAAAGGAGAGAUUUUUGUAAGCAUAAAAAUCAGUGAGCCUCUCCUGAGCUACAGGAAAAAAAAUUGCUCCAAGUUGAUUUUCUAACUUUCUUAGGCACCUUUGCAAAUUAUAGCCUAGGAUCUUUCAGGCAAGCUUAAAGAAAUCCUCGCGUUUUCCUCAACUGACCUUUUCCCACUGUUCCAGAUCUCAGAUUCUUGCUGGACUACAAAAAGAUCACAAGCAGAAGAUGACCCGUGACUCUAACUUAAUUUCUGUAACAGUUUAGCCUGAUCAGAUCCAUAUCUAAGGAGAAUUUGAAGAGCAGCCUUUAACUCAGUUAUUGGGUCAUGAAUUCUCUAGCCAGUAUAAACUAAGCCUCUUAGGCUUCUCCAUGAGCUUGGAAUAUAUUCUGCAGUCAGACUACAAUACGGUUAACACCUCAUAAUUUGUAUGCAUCAAUAUAAAUUUUUAACACAGUACGUAUUCACCCUCCCGUGCACUUUCUCAUUUUGACCCAACCCAACCACACAAGAUAAAAAGAAACUCAUUUGUAGCAAAGCCACUGAAGUUCUUUCUCACAGCCAAUGAGUUGGGGAAGACACGCGUGUGCCUUGUGUGGAAUACAGCUGUGCAAAUUCAGCAGUGACUCUCUACCCUCCCAAUGCAGCAGCUUCAGCUGGCCAGAGGCCAUCUCCUGUUUUCAGGCAGGAUUUGUACCUCAAAAAGGAGAAUAAUUAUUUUUAUCAUAGUAAUUCAAGUAUUGUCUAGGAUUCCUUUGGGCAAGACACUGGCCCUAACCCUUGGAAUUUAAAAUUCUCUCUAGUUGCUCAUCUGGCUGCCUUUGAAAAACAAAACUGUUGUCUUAUUCUGCAAUAGAUCUAAACUGCUGAGUUAACUUGGACAUUUAGAUAAAAAACCCAACCAAUUAAUCAAAUCUAUUUGAUUCAAAGCACUUCUUACUGCAUAUUAAUUUUUUUAUGAGCAUGAGGACUGCAGUAGCUAAACUUCAUGACUCCUGAACUCUACCCUACAAGGGAUGCCCAGCUGCAAACGUAUUUGUUAGCCUUCAAUCUCAACAACAGGGUCAACAGGUAGCAAGAGCAACAACUCAAAAUAGCCAUACUGGUACCACAUACUCAUUUCCUGUCACUUCCUGCUAGUUACUAAUUGCUUUCAUUAUCAAAUUUGGCUGCUCCUUAAAAAAAAAAAAAAGCCACCACCACCUAAGAAUAAAGAUUUUUGCGUAACUACA